GGCGCGAAAACUUUACAAUGCUGGCAACAGCGAUAAGGGAACCUCGAGUGCCAGGUUACAAAUCUGGCUGUCGAGAUGCCUAAAAAGCAUUUCAUAGCAAGGGCCGGGCAAGACCGGUGCCAGCCGCCGCGGUAACACCGGCGGCUCGAGUGGUAACCGUUAUUAUUGGGUCUAAAGGGUCUGUAGCCGGCCGGAUAAGUCUCUUGAGAAAUCUGGCAGCUUAACUGUCAGGCUUUCAGGAGAUACUGUCUGGCUCGAGGCCGGGAGAGGUGAGAGGUACUUCAGGGGUAGGGGUGAAAUCUUGUAAUCCUUGAAGGACCACCAGUGGCGAAGGCGUCUCACCAGAACGGACCUGACGGCAAGGGACGAAAGCUAGGGGCACGAACCGGAUUAGAUACCCGUGUAGUCC
rnacentral:rRNA from 1 species